UGAUUGGCUGGUGGGCACCCAGUUGUGGCCAGGUAGGGCAUGAGGUCACACAGGGGUGUGGUGAAGGUAUCAGGGUGUUAGGUCACACAGGGGUGUGGCAAAGGCAUGGUCUUCCAGCUCUCAAACCUGAUCGAUUUUAACCUAUAUGCCUGCCUACUUCAGUCACCAUUAUUAUAUCGUCUAGCUUAUUAAUAAUUUUUAAUAAUAAUAAUCUUGGUGGGUUCUUGCCAUCGAUUCAGAGAAGAAUUCUGAAUACUGGCUCAAAUAGACCAGACAACAUGUUUCAGAUUGGGAGAAACCAAGGAGCAGUAGCUGGCACCAACUGCUGAAAUCCCUUUGCCUCAUCUCAAACUCCCUUUAAGACCUAGGAUGAUGGUGAAAAGAAUUGGAGAGUAAUCCAAGUGCAAGGGCUGAAGACUUCAAGAAGCAAGGCUUCAGUAUUCUGGAGUUUCAAGGCAGAAAACUAGGCCUGAGGGCACAGAUGGAUGGGAAGUGGCUGCACCUGCCUCCCCACUCAUACCUGCCCAGAUGUCAAGGAAGGUUCUGUACCAUUAAGCUAUGAAGGGUUAUUAAUUUCUUCAGAAAUAUGUGAAGUGACCAAGGACACAUAGUAGACAUUGAAAAAUGUAAGAAGAGGAAAUCUGCCCAGAAAAAGUCUGCAUCAUGGGACUGAGACCUUAACAUCUGCAGGCACAGGUGUUUCAUUGUCACAGGAAGCAGGUGAGAUGCCUUUGGCCAAAGCAAUCCCCCUUGUAAGAGAUUAGAGGAAAAUAGUUGAGAGCAAGAUCAGAGCAUGCAUUGUCAAACCAGAAGUCACUCAGAGCUAUCAAUCAGUGGCCUGUGUUGCCAAAAAACUCUGCUGUCAUCUACAUUAUGUUUAGUAAACCUACUCAAGACGUGCCAUAGCAACCACUGUGGAACAAGAGGCUCCACCCAUGCCAGAUUGCUUCAGCCUGAAGGUGGUCCUUGAUGAGUGGAUUACUUUCCAGAAUAAGGUGUUAUGGACUGAAUGUUUUGCCCUUCCAACACUGCCAUGCUGAUAUUCUAAGCCACAAUUAGAAGGUGAGUCUUUUGGGAUGUAAUCGGCAUUAGUAGGGCAGAUCCUUUAUGAAGGGGAUUGAUAUUUUAUAAAACAGGGACCAGAAGGCUCUCUAGAUUUUCUUCUUGCCAUGUGAAGAUACAAUGGGAAGCAUACAGUCUGCAGCCUGAGAGAGGGCCCUCAUAAGAAGCCUACUAAGCUGACAACCUCAUGUCUGAGCUCCAGCCUCCAGAACUGUGAUAAACAAAUGUCUAUCUCUGUAAGCCAGCCAUUGCCAUUCUGUGGUGCUUUGUUAUAGCAGCCUGAACCAAGUCAUAAGGAGAGAUUGAGUCUAUCAGAACAUUGCUUUGAUGAAAAGGCUUUCUGUAUUGAGAAUGCAUUUUAUAGGAGAAUUGCACUAAAUGAGUAAAACAGGAACAAUCACCCACUUUUGUUUUUUUGCCUUAAAUUUGAGGGAGAGUAUGAUAGUAUAUGCUACAAACGGAAAGAUCUCUGGCCAGGGCCUCAUUCCUCAAACAUCAUCUGACAAGUCUUUUCCAUAAAAUUCCUCUUGGGUCAGGUCUUUGUGAUUAUUAGAAUUUGGGGAGCAUAUAAUGAACCUGCAAAGAAAAAUCUGAUAUUGGCGGAAUUCAUACUUCACUUCUAGCCAUAAACUCAGCUUCAUAAACUAGAGUGUCUUCACAUUUGCAAAUCUGAGUAUCAUUCAAAAAAUUAAACUUGAUUACAAGCUAUGCAAAGAAUUGAUCUUUCAGUUGGCUAAAAAAUUGCCCCAAUCCCUUGAUAAAGAGAAUCUAUGGUUUGCCUUCCUUUGAGAGAUUUGUGUUUGCAGAACUAAAAUCCACCAAAAGUACACUUCCAGGACUCUGAAAACUGAGGCCAAGGUCAUUUUAAAAGUAAAUUAAUCCUACUGAUUUCUGUCUUUUACAUGUCCUUAGAGUCAGAGAAUUAUGGUGAGGCAGGAUUCUUAUUUGCUAAAUGAAAUGUUAAAACCAGCUAGUAAAAGUUGUCAAAUUUAUAGUGGAGAUAGUAAAAAUGGGAAUUGCAAUCAUUUAGGCAUAAGUAAUUUUUGUGUUUAUUGUCUUCAUCUUUCAGAAGGGAAUUAAAAAAAUAUAUAAUCUUCAAGAUUGAGGGGAAGAGCUAUAGAACCACUUUGGAAUAACCUGUGGUCAUCCCUGAAAGGAGGUCAUUGCUCUUUAGUGAGAAUAUACAAUAGCUGCAUCUCCAUCCCAAUGGCAGGCAUCUUCCAGGUUAGAAACUUGUUAUAUUGACCAAUUUUUCACACUACAACUUCAAUUCAGUUGUCCUAAAUUCCAUCUCACUGAUAUACAAUUUUUUUCUUGCAAAUUAUAGCCUUUCAAGAAGUUGAAGAAAGAUUUGAAAGUUGUUUUUGGAGGAUUCUGAAAGGAAAUUACAUGUUGCUUUCUUUAAUGCGUUGGUUAUGUUUGAUAUAUGCUUGUAAAGUGUGAAAAUCUGUUUCAUUCUAUAGAUGUCUGUCCAUCUUUCUUCUGAUGAGAGUGGGCCAUUAGAACUGGACAAAUGGUGCAUUCCCAUUAAACAGAUAUUGAGCUGUCAGAAGCCAUUGAUACAGAGUGUGCUCUUCUCUUGGAUUUUUGUUUUCCAAGGUCAAUGUGCAUAAUCUCAGCUCUCUGGUAUCUCACUAGUGCCUAUUAGUAGACUGCCCAUAAAGUUACCUCCUCAGAAGCCAACUCCAGUUUUUCUCUGAUCUCUGAAGUCUACCCAAUAUUGUUGAUAUUGAAAAUGAUUUUACCUUAAUUGAUGGCAAUUGAAAGUGUCAGUACAAUUUGGGCUGAUCAAUAUGUAAGUAGCCAGGGCCUGAGUAGUCAAUUAGUCUUCGAGUUUCUAAGAGAAACUUCCGUUAAUAGACACACUGACUGGGUAGCUAGAGUCAGACAACUGAGGUCAGUGCAUCAGAUUAGCAGAGCACCAGGUACAGAGUCUUUCUGUCCUGUCUCCCUGUGAGAACUGUGCAGAGAGC